CGCUCGGGUUUUUUCUUUUUUGUGUUUUCGGGAGUUCGGGAGGGCCCGACAAAGCCCUAUACAGGGCCACCGUGAUCCAAAUAGCUAUUCUAUACCAUGCACAACAUCUCUACUCCUAAUGUCUCAGUUAGUAGUCCGCGUUCCGGGUUUUAUUUUCGUCCCACCUAAUACGGUCUUUUUUGGUACUUCUUUGGUACUUGCUCCCACCUCCCGCUCAGCCGCAAAAAACCAAUGAAAACCCCGCGAUCGAGUCCCGUAGACGCCCAACCUCCACUGGUUUAUUUUCGUCCUCCCUCGACCUGCGAAAAGAAACCAAGGAAAAAAGAUCGAGGCCCCCUCGCACGAACCGGGAGCGAGGCCUCCUUGCGAAAAAAAAUAUCUGACGAUCCAGGCUGCCCUCGAUCGUCUCGCUACGAGGACGAGAACCAUGCCCCAGCCGCCAUAGUGGAGCCCUACGCCGCCGCCGAGAUCGGAGAGGAGCCGCCGCCGCCGAGGUUCGAGAGGAGCUGGCCACCACGACCUCCCUCCCCAGGCGGCCGCCACCACCCCCUCCCCAAGCAGCCAUGUACAGCAGGGCGGCGCCCACGCGCCUGGCCUAUGUAGGUCUCGGCCUCCCUCCUCCCUUUGUCCAAGGCCAGGAGCUCCCCCUCCCCGACCCGAUCUGGCGGAGAGAGGGCCAGGCCUUGCCACUCCGGUGGUCGCUGUGGCCAGAUCUGUCCGGGGUAGUCGCCGUAGAGCCUCUAUGGCGGCGGAGUAGCAGCAGCCCGACAGAAGGUGGGUGCCAGAUCGUCGUCCAGCAGCUCGCCGUCGGAGCUUCUCACUACAGGCGAUGGAGGCUGGUGCUACUCAGUCUAUCUAUGAUGUUUGUUUCCUGUGUUUACAUGGCAGAGUGAUUGCUGCACUGGCUUUUGGCUAUGGAUGCAAGUUGGGAACUCAUUCAGUGAUUUGAGGGUGCAGGUAGGGAUGAUGCUGCGGAUGGGAUGGGAAGAUGUGUGUGUGUGCUAGCUGCUUCACAUACGACUCAGAGAAAGAAUUGCUUUGCAGGUUACCAACAUCACGAAUUUCAUACUUAUGGAGUGGAGCCACCAAACAAUUUAUGAGGUAAAAUCACUAUAUACAUAUUGUUUUCCCACCGCUGCUUCAAGCGACACGCAUUCGUUGCAAAGAAAUCGGCAUCACCUGCGUGCUUGCUUGUGUUUGUUUCUAGCCGGCAAGAAUCCAUCGAGUCUUCCUCUAUGUGUGCAACCUUGCCAGUGUGUGAAUCAAUCAAGGCAAGGGCAAGCAACCAACAUUAAGCAUGUGCGAGUCUUGCCGGGAUCUGAUCUAUCAACUCGUUCAGCCAGCUUUGCACCAUGUGCACGUCGUCCAUGCUAGAAAAGCACUUGGCAAGUGGACGGCUCCAUUGGCCAUGCGUCAACAAUUCAAAUCAUUAUCUAUACUCGAUAGACACAUACUUUUUUAUGCAAUUCUGAAUUUAUGGAAGCAGAAGAACUGAUUAUGUGAAUUAAAUAUCUAAUCCCAUGUGUAGGUGCUAUCUAACUGUUGUGAUUAUUUAUGCGCAUAUAACUUGCAGGUAGAUAACUCUAUAGUAUGAAGACUUAAAAAUACGAGUGCAUGUCAUUGGUGUUUUGAAUCCAUCUUCCAUCACUUCUAAUACUUUUGUGUUACAUAAUACUAUUUUUUCAGCAUUUGAUUGACAUAUCGAUGGUAUUUGUAAUAAAUUUCUUUCUUUAAAUUCUUUACCAGGAAAUAUGUUGAAGCACCGAAUGUAUUCCAUUUGCAAUUUCCGCCAUGGACGCCGCCUCGCUCAUGGGCUCCUCCUCCGCCGACGCGCGCACCGACGGGGAGCACCGGAUGGGCAUCACCAUCAUGGGCGUCUGCUACGACGGCGGCGUCCUCGCCGCUGACACUCAGGACCAGCACCGGUACCCCCCCCCUCGCGGAUCCAACAGCAGCGGCUAGGUCAGGGUCGGAGAUGGCGCAUCGGCCAUCCGAUUCCGCCGGUCGUAGAUCAAACAGAGGGCGUGAUAAAGUCCAGCAGAAGUGGUGGCUGGGAUUUUUACUGUUAAUUCGAUCUGCAAAACAGUGAUCAAUAUAGUAUAUGUGUAGUAAAAUAGACAUGUUGCUGAUAGUGUUGUAGUAGUGUGUGAUUUGGUUGCAUAGUUUUCUAAUGGAAACAAGUGAAAAACUCUUUGAUUUUCUGAUUUCUUUAUGCUUGCAGAGAGGUUCCACAACUUCGGUUUGGCUAUCAUCAAAAUUGGAGGAGAGCCCGAUGCAUUGGAGAGCAUCAUCCGUGAGUUCCACAAGAUCGAAUUGAGGAGGCAUUAUAACCUGGCAUCAUUUGGAUGACUUUGUCAGUAGGAAGAAUGGCUAACAUGCCUGUUAAAGCUAGAUAAACGCGUAUUGAAGGAACUGGGGUAUGUCCGCCAUGUUGAACACCCUCACAAUGACGGGUACCAUACAAUGUUAGCGAGGACAGUGAUUGGGGGAUUGAUAUUUUCGAAGUAAAGAGGUGCUUGGAGGAGGCACGCGUCGCAGGUUUGACUGUUUGGGCUAUGGUGAUCAUAAACCCCGGAUAACCGACGGAACAGGUACUUUCUGUGACCAACCAGGAGGAGAUAGUAGAAUUUUGUCGAAAAGAAGGUUUGGUUAUGCUUGCCGAUGAAGUUUGCACUUGGUGAACUGCGGUAGUUUUGUGACGCGAACGCGUGUGUAGACAUCCUACAUUUGUAUAAAUGCGUUUACAGGUAUACCAAGACAAGCUCUAUAUGGAGGACAUGAAGUUCAAUUCUUUCAGGAAAGUUGCCAGAUCACUUGGGUAUGACGAGAAUGGUAUAUCCAUAGUGUCAUUUCAUUGGGGGGUACUCUGGAGUAUGUGGCAGAAGGGGAAGCUACAUGUUGAUAUGUAAAAUUCCCUUCACGACUCGUUUAGGAAUAACAGAGUUUUGGAGAUGAUGUGAUGGGUGAGAUUCGCAAGGUGGCUUCUGUGACUCUUUGCCCCAACAUAAAUGGUGACUUGCGAUGGAUCCACCGAAGUAUAGAUCUGCGAUUGACAUUUUUAUUGGACCACUGGGUGAGCAUUUGCAACAAAGAGCCAGGGAGUAAGCUGGGAGCGGACAAACAUAAUGCCCUGAACAUGAGUUUGUCCUUGCAUAAUUAUCCAUGUCUGAUGGUAGGAAGAGACAGGAUCAGAUCGCUCACCAGUUAUGAAGAUGUGGUAGUACCGUAGUAGGGUGUGGUAGAUGAACAUGUCUUUAUUUUCCGAAUCGCUUAAUAUUAUAUGAUAUUGUACUGACAAGUAGGAGGUGAUUGCUGAUGGGUGAUUCUAGAUUCUUGAGUGAAUACUAGCUACCAUGUUAUCCUAAGUGCUGUCAACUAUUCAAUUACAAAUAAAAACUCAAGAACGUACUUAGUCUACCACAAAUUGAGAUUUUUUUGCCUCAAAUUUAGUCUGAUACAUUUUCCUUAACGUGACACUCUUUUUAGAGUUAACCCAACAUUUUUCUGUUCCAUCGUAAUCAACUAACUUUGAUAUGCAUGGGUUCAAUGCUAAACAAAGGAGGCACACUUCUCUAGCCUCGAGGUGGUAUCACUAAUAUGUGCCAUGAACUAUACGCAAUUCAGGUUAUGUGACCAGACACUAUAUUUUAUCCCCAUCAUUAUCAGAGCAAUGCAUAAUUUUUCUUUGCUCAUCGUCCUACUAACAAUAACUUGUUCUGCCUAAGUGGUUAUCCCUUAUAGCAUCACCUGCACCUACCAGCCUGAAUGAACUUUGGCGACAAUGCAAACUUGCUGUUAUUGCAGAUGAAAAAAAUAUUGUAAUGUAUGCAAAUGCAAGUGUGAUUUUUCCUUUUAGAAACCCUUUUUCUGUUUUCAUUUUAUUCCUGUCUGAAAUAUAAUAUAUAAAUAAAGAGGUUUAUUAUUCUUCCGUCAUCUUCAGCUCAUGUAUAUUUUAUGUGUUUCUUACUUUCUUUUAACAUUUCUCAAUAUAGUUCUUCUCAACAAAUUUUCAUAUAGCAGAGCUUGGUCCAGCACUCGGACUCUCGGACUCACUGGAUGCAAAUGGAGUGGAGCCUCCUCUGCCAUCUCAGCAUCAGCCGCAGGACGGCACUACAACCAACUAGCACCAUGGAUGGGUCAAGGUUGCUUGUGAUGAGAUCAUCAAUCUCGAAGGACAGGUUGAUGAUAUGGACCUCUUGGACAACUAUGUCGUCGUUGUUGUAAAACAUGGUGAUGGUGUUUCAGUUGAAAUAGGCAAGGGCAGUCAGCCCGAGGCGGCCCUUAUUCAGGCUUCAAGAUCGAGCUGCACCUUUAUCGAUGGAAGUCAUAUCCAUUAUUCCUCCUUAUUCUAUCUUAUAUAUUUAACUGUAUUGACAUAAAAACAGUGUUAGGAUUAUAGACAUGUAUCGUUGUUAUUACCAAUCAGAUCAGUGGUACAAGUCUUUUUUCCUUGAUGUCUGAGUGUUUAGCCACAAGAGGCGUUAGAAGAGCCCGAACAGAACCUACCGAGCCUGGUCGUGGUUAAUGAGGAUUUGCCGGAUAAAUAGCCUGGUCGUGGGAGGCGAAGGGGCACUUCUCGGUCAGAUCUGCAUACGCGGCUGGCUUUUGCGGAAGGGAGGUCAUACCUACGGCGGAUCUAACAUGGAAGUCGCGUGCCCCUUUGCAGUGCAAAUUCUUUACAUGGCUGGCAAUGAAGGAGCGAUGCUGGACUUCGGAUCGCCUUGCGCAAAGGGGUCUACCUCAUCAGGAUGCAUGCCGUUCUGUGAUCAAGAGGACGAAACGAUCAAUCAUAUACUGCUAUCAUGUGUCUUUGCUCGGACUGCUUGGGCGGCCAUCUAUGGCUCGCUGGAUAAACCAGAAUGGACCCCCUCCCCUCAUGAUGUGCUGGCCGAGUGGGCCAUUGACAAGAAGGGAGUGAACAACUUGAGCACGAAGGAUCUACGCACCAUAUUCGCGCUUGUCUGGUGAGAGUUGUGGAAGCACAGGAAUGCUAUUGUAUUUGAUGGAGCACGACCGUCUAUAGAUCAGCUGUUACAAAGAGUGAGAGAUGAGGGUGUGGUCUGGUCCUCUGCGGGACUUCUAAAAAGGAA